rnacentral:rRNA from 1 species
UAGGGAAUCUUCCGCAAUGUGCGAAAGCUUGACGGAGCAACGCCGCGUGAGUGAUGAAGGUCUUCGGAUCGUAAAACUCUGUUAUUAGGGAAGAACACAUGUGUAAGUAACUAUGCACGUCUUGACGGUACCUAAUCAGAAAGCCACGGCUAACUACGUGCCAGCAGCCGCGGUAAUACGUAGGUGGCAAGCGUUAUCCGGAAUUAUUGGGCGUAAAGCGCGCGUAGGCGGUUUUUUAAGUCUGAUGUGAAAGCCCACGGCUCAACCGUGGAGGGUCAUUGGAAACUGGAAAACUUGAGUGCAGAAGAGGAAAGUGGAAUUCCAUGUGUAGCGGUGAAAUGCGCAGAGAUAUGGAGGAACGCCAGUGGCGAAGGCGACUUUCUGGUCUGUAACUGACGCUGAUGUGCGAAAGCGUGGGGAUCAAACAGG